GGUGAUGUGGUGUAGGGGUAGCAUGCGUCGUUGUGGAGCGUCCCACAACAUCAGCCCUUAGGUUGGUUGUUUGCUGUUUGAUGGAUGAUCACAACGCCGACUCGACCUGGGUUCGAUUCCCAGCAUCGCCA